rnacentral:rRNA from 1 species
UACGUAGGGUGCAAGCGUUAAUCGGAUUUACUGGGCGUAAAGCGUGCGUAGGCGGUUCGCUAAGUCGGUUGUGAAAUCCCUGGGCUUAACCUGGGAACUGCAGUCGAUACUGGUGAACUAGAAUGCGGUAGAGGGUGGCGGAACUCCCGGUGUAGCGGUGAAAUGCGCAGAUAUCGGGAGGAACACCGGUGGCGAAGGCGGUUCUCUGGGCCUUACCUGACGCUGAGGAGCGAAAGCGUGGGGAGCGAACAGG